UACAGAGGGUGCGAGCGUUAAUCGGAAUUACUGGGCGUAAAGCGCGCGUAGGCGGCUUUGCAAGUCGGGUGUGAAAUCCCCAGGCUUAACCUGGGAACUGCAUCCGAUACUGGAUGGCUUGAAUCCGGGAGAGGGAUGCAGAAUUCCAGGUGUAGCGGUGAAAUGCGUAGAUAUCUGGAGGAAUACCGGUGGCGAAGGCGGCAUCCUGGACCGGCAUUGACGCUGAUGAGCGAAAGCUAGGGGAGCAAACGGG
rnacentral:rRNA from 1 species